rnacentral:rRNA from 1 species
UGGCGAACGGGUGAGUAACACGUGGGUAACCUGCCCAUCAGAAGGGGAUAACACUUGGAAACAGGUGCUAAUACCGUAUAACAAUCGAAACCGCAUGGUUUUGAUUUGAAAGGCGCUUUCGGGUGUCGCUGAUGGAUGGACCCGCGGUGCAUUAGCUAGUUGGUGAGGUAACGGCUCACCAAGGCCACGAUGCAUAGCCGACCUGAGAGGGUGAUCGGCCACAUUGGGACUGAGACACGGCCCAAACUCCUACGGGAGGCAGCAGUAGGGAAUCUUCGGCAAUGGACGAAAGUCUGACCGAGCAACGCCGCGUGAGUGAAGAAGGUUUUCGGAUCGUAAAACUCUGUUGUUAGAGAAGAACAAGGAUGAGAGUAACUGUUCAUCCCUUGACGGUAUCUAACCAGAAAGCCACGGCUAACUACGUGCCAGCAGCCGCGGUAAUACGUAGGUGGCAAGCGUUGUCCGGAUUUAUUGGGCGUAAAGCGAGCGCAGGCGGUUUCUUAAGUCUGAUGUGAAAGCCCCCGGCUCAACCGGGGAGGGUCAUUGGAAACUGGGAGACUUGAGUGCAGAAGAGGAGAGUGGAAUUCCAUGUGUAGCGGUGAAAUGCGUAGAUAUAUGGAGGAACACCAGUGGCGAAGGCGGCUCUCUGGUCUGUAACUGACGCUGAGGCUCGAAAGCGUGGGGAGCAAACAGGAUUAGAUACCCUGGUAGUCCACGCCGUAAACGAUGAGUGCUAAGUGUUGGAGGGUUUCCGCCCUUCAGUGCUGCAGCUAACGCAUUAAGCACUCCGCCUGGGGAGUACGACCGCAAGGUUGAAACUCAAAGGAAUUGACGGGGGCCCGCACAAGCGGUGGAGCAUGUGGUUUAAUUCGAAGCAACGCGAAGAACCUUACCAGGUCUUGACAUCCUUUGACCACUCUAGAGAUAGAGCUUCCCCUUCGGGGGCAAAGUGACAGGUGGUGCAUGGUUGUCGUCAGCUCGUGUCGUGAGAUGUUGGGUUAAGUCCCGCAACGAGCGCAACCCUUAUUGUUAGUUGCCAUCAUUCAGUUGGGCACUCUAGCAAGACUGCCGGUGACAAACCGGAGGAAGGUGGGGAUGACGUCAAAUCAUCAUGCCCCUUAUGACCUGGGCUACACACGUGCUACAAUGGGAAGUACAACGAGUUGCGAAGUCGCGAGGCUAAGCUAAUCUCUUAAAGCUUCUCUCAGUUCGGAUUGCAGG